GUCCUCGCUUCAGCAGCACAUAUACUAAAAUUGGAACAAUACAGAGAAGAUUAAAGAUUAGCAUGGCCCCUGCAAGGAUGACAUAGUUUAAAAGCAAUGGGAUAGAAAAAAAAUGU
ensembl:snRNA U6 U6 spliceosomal RNA